rnacentral:misc_RNA from 1 species
GCGGAAGGAUCAUUAAAAAAUUGGACUCCAUUGGUGAGUUCAUUAAUAAUCCCUACCCUUUGUGAAUUUGUUUGUUUGAAUAAUUUUUUUUCCAAAAAAAAAUUAUUGAAUGUCUUUCCUUGUUUUGGUGGAGCUUGUAAAGUGAAACCGGCAGGGGAAUGGCAAACAAUAAUUAUUUUUGAAAAAGACCUUUUUUUAAAAUUAAACUUUUUGUAUUCAUUUGUCUAAAAUUAAUUUUUAUAAUAUAAAAACAACUUUUGACAAUGGAUCUCUUGGUUCUCGCAACGAUGAAGAACGCAGCAAAAUGCGAUAAGUAGUGUGAAUUGCAGAAUACGUGAAUCAUCGAAUCUUCGAACGCAUAUUGCACUUUUUUAGUUUACUAAAAAAGUAUGUCUGUUUGAGUAUCAGUAAAAUAUUCUCAUAAAAAACAUUGUUUUUUUAUGGUUAUGAGUGUUUUACAACGAUAACAAGUUGUUUCACUUUAAAUUCUUUGUUAUCAAAAAAAUCAUUAAAAGCUAAUUUUAAAGAUUUUUUAAAAUUGGAUAAAAUUUUCCCGUAAAAAGGAAUAACCUAAACAAUUUUAAAAAAAUUAAAAUUGGUUUGAUUUUUUUUGAAACCCAAAGGAAAAAAAAACGAAAUUAACUUGAUCUCAAAUCAGAUAAGAGUACCCGCUGAACUUAAGCAUAUCAAUAAGCGGAGGAAAAGAAACUAACUAGGAUUCCCUCAGUAACGGCGAGUGAAGCGGGAAGAGCUCAAAUUUGAAAUCUCCAAGGUUUUACCUUGACGAAUUGUAGUUUAAAGAAGUGUUUUCUGUUGGAGUUUUGGUAAAAGUUCUUUGGAAAAGGACAUCAUAGAGGGUGAGAAUCCCGUAUUUGACCAUUAUCUCCAGCUUUGUGAUACACUUUCAAAGAGUCGGAUUGUUUGGGAAUGCAGUCCAAAAUGGGUGGUAAAUUUCAUCUAAAGCUAAAUACUGGCGAGAGACCGAUAGCGAACAAGUACCGUGAGGGAAAGAUGAAAAGAACUUUGAAAAGAGAGUUAAACAGUACGUGAAAUUGUCAAAAGGGAGCGUUUGACACCAGUGUUGUAUUCUCGAAAAUCAAUUAAAAAAGGCCGGAUUUUUGUGUUGUAUUGACUUUAUCAGCUUUCUGCACUCUUUUCUUGUCUUUUUUAAUGCACUUUUCGUUUAACAAGUCAACAUCAAUUUCUUUUGUUGUAAAAGGGUCAUUGGAAGGUGGCUUUCUUUUCGGAGAAGUGUUUAUAGCCUUUGGCCUCUGCAAUCGGAGAGAUUGAGGUCUGCAGCGUAGAUCCUUCGGGGUUAGAUACAUUUGUGCUAAGUUAUAGCCUUUCAUAGACAACUUGUUGACUAUGAUCAGUCAUGUAGCUUACUCGCUUAUGCUAUUUUACC